AGUACAAUACUUUGGUCCUUUUUAUUGCAGGAAGAGUUAUAUCUGGAACGCUCUAACCGGGUGGGGGUUUUGUCUUCUUAACCGGUCGGGUCGGGUCCGGAUCCUCUUUAUCCACUUUGUGAAAUUUCUAGAUUAAUCAAAAUCAUUUUUACAUAUUUUCAUUUUUAUCAUUUUAAAGUUUUAGGAGUAUUCACGUAUUUAAAUAGUAUAAACAUGAGACUAUAUUAGGCCAAAGUAUGAUUUAAUUAACCACAAAUUAUAGUACACUAGAAAAAAAAAGUUUUCAAAUAUCGACAAAAAAACAAAGUUUUCAAAUAUUAAGAGGGAACAUUAUUUGUAAUCUGAAAGCUUAAUCUUUGCUUUAGUUAUAUAUACAAGGGUGGUCCUGAGCACAGCGAAUUAAAACAUCGGUUCAGUACCCCAAAUUUUUUCAAAACAAUUACAAGAAAAAAACUCCUAAAUUUGUAAAAAGAAAUUUUUUUAGAAAAUCCUCACUAAAUUUUUUUAGGUCUCCAACAUCUCAGGGACGCCCCUGGUUAUAUACUCUAUUUUGAACUCUGUUUGAUUUUAAUUAUAUGAAUGUAAGCUGAGACUGAAAAAGCUAAUCUUUGUUAAAUAGAAGAAUGUUCGCCUAAGCUUGUUAAAGAUCAUCAAUACUAUUUCUCUAAUGUGAAGAUCUCAGAAAUGUGCUUAGUGUAUAACAGUAUUAGUAUAAGCCAAAACCAAAAAAAAAAGUGUACUAUAAUGUAGUUAGUGUACCGACCAGCGAAAAAGGUGCUUAGUGUUAGAAAAUGAUACCUACAAUAAUUCAGCCAUUUUUAGUUUCAGUAAUCCGCAGAAAAUAUCAAUGUAUUUUUUUUUUUAACGACAUACCAAUGUAUUUAGAGAUGAACAUUAUUGAUUAUAAUAAAAAUAAUAAAGGAACCGUUGUUUUUCUUUUUAAAAUUACGUACCAUCUUGCAGUCACGUGUGUUUUGUAGCUGAUUACACUUUCCAAGUUACUUUUUGAUGGGGAAAAUCAAAUCCACUAAAAGUGUUUAACAUGAAUUUUUUAACAAAAAAAAUUAGAUAUAUUUAAGUAAAAUAAUAAAAUAAUAUUAUGAUUAUUUUAAAAUCAGAAAAACCUACAUUAAAAUCUCAUAUGAAACUGACACUAAUAUUUUCCAGAUUAAAUAUUUUAUCGUGAAGUUUUCAUGAUUUAGAAACAUACGCCAUAAUAAUUUAGGGAAAAAUCGCAUUUAAACCCUGAAGUUGAUACAUUCUAGCAGUUUAAAUAUUAAACCUUUUUCACUAACACUUUAAUACCUUAAACAAUAACUUUUGUCGAAACAAACUCCAAAGUUGCAUCCCACGUUUUUCUCGUAACCCUAUUUGACGGUAUUGUUCACGACGUUUACUGGGCAAAAUGCAUAUAUGUUGUUUUUUGAUUAAAAACGACACUGUUGAGAACAUAAAAUUUGUUUCGAAAUCGAUUUAGGGAUUAGGGUCCUAACAGUAACAAGACCGAGAAAGUUUAUAUAGAUUCUUCACUUCUUCUACCUCGUAUUUGUCUCUUGAUUCUUCAUUUCUUUUACCAUGUUCUUUGUCUCUUAGAAAUAGCUAAAGACUCAUUUUUUUAUAACAGGGAUUCGCAUGAAAUGGAAUUGAAGAUUCAUUUUGGUGGUGAAAUGAAGAAGAUUGGUGAUGGUGAAGAUUAUGAGUAUUUGGGUGAAUUAGGGAGCAAAAAUGUGGAAUGGAAAAUCGAUGACAUAGUGUGGGAUAUGUUCGUUGAUUUUUGCAAAGAAGAAGCCCUCAUUAGAGCACCACUUGGCUUGAUUUGGUAAAAAUCAGAGAAAGAGGAGAUGAAGGAACUGUGGUAUGUAUAUGAUAGAUACGAUGGGGAGAUGUGUGAGCUACGGUCUACAAACAAGUCAGGGAUAGAUGUUGUGGAAGUGUUUGUUGAACAUGAAUGCUCAGAACACAUACCUGGUGUGAUUCAGCUUGCGGACACCAACCGAGAUGUUGCAGAAUGUGUUGAUGAAGAGGAAGAACACAGUGAGAUGUCCAAAAUAGAACAAAUAUAAAAUCGUUGUAGAAUUUAUAUCAACUGGAGAUUUUGCAUAUUCCGUGACAUUUGAUUAAUCGUUGUAGAAUUUAUUUUCUUGUGGACAAAAGCGAACCAUUCUAACUUAUUUUAAGCUUUUUUUAUUUUUGAUUUUUUUUUUUGUAUUUGAAAUUGUAUAUAGUUCAGUAGUGUGUAUUUCUACUAAAUAUGAAAAUUAUAUAAAAUAUGCCUUAAUUGUAUUUUUAAAUUCGACCCCUUUUCGUUAUGAAAGUUUUAUGAAAUGUUAAUAUUCUUAAUUUAUUUUAUUAAUUGUUUGAUAUAGAUUUUGAUGAAAUUUUAAUUAUAAAAAUUAUUUCAUGUCAAUUUGUUACUCGUUUUCAAUUUAUUACUCUAAUGUUAUAUAUAUAUAUAUAUAUAUAUAUUAUUUAAUUAAAUAUGAAGCUUAUUUAAUAAAUGUGAAAUUUUGUAUUUAUGAAAGUAUAAAUAAAAUAAUUUAUUAAUUUAAUAUUAAUUGAAAUUAUUUUCUGUAUGUUAAUUAUUGACUUGUUUGGAAACAUAUCUAAUGUUUUUCUAUAAUUAACUUAAAGAAGUUAUAUUGUUUUCAUUAAUUAUUAAUGAUGUUUUAUAUAACAUAAUAUUUCGCUAAAGGUUAGGACCAUUAAAAGUUUCUGUUUUAAUAAACUAGGUUAUAUUAUUUAGCAUAUGACUAAAUGUUAGAUCUAUUAAAAUAUUUAUAUUUUAAUAAGAGAGAUUUAUCAAAUAGUUUGAAAAAAUUAAUGAAAAUUUAUUCAAAAGUGUAAUUCAAUGUUUUAUAUUAUCUAGACUUAAAUUUUGUUAUUGAGUUGUUUAAAAACAUAUAUAGAACUUUAAUGUUGUUUCUAUAAUUAUCUUAGGGGUUAUCUAGUAUUUUCAUAAGUUAUUAUUUAUUAGUGACAUUAAUUUUAUAUAGUAUAACAUACUACUAAAUGCUAGAUCCAUUAGAAAACAAAUUGUUUUUAUAAUAAAGAUGUUUCUGUUUUAAUAUAAAAAAGGUUAUAUAAAAUAGCAUAUGACUAAAUGUUAGAUCCAUUAAUAUGUUUAUGUUUUAAUAAGAGAGAUUUAUCAAAUAAUCUGAAAGAAAAUUAAUAUUAAUUUAUUAAAAAGUGGGAUUCAAUGUUUCAUAUUAUCUAGACUCAAAUUUAGUUAUUGUGUUUUUGGAAACAUAUCUAGUAUUAUAAUUAUCUUAGUGAAAUUUUAGUAUUUUUUAUUAAUUAUUAGUUAUAUUUUGUAUAAUAUAACAUAUGACAAAAUGUUAGAUCCACUUAAGAAAUCAUGUUAUAAUAAUAAAGACUAUGGCUCUAAAUGGUGACCAAAAGAAUGACUGGAAAUAAAUAAUUCUUCUUCAUUCCUCAAAUUUGAUACUAUUUAUAAGGAAUAUUUUUUUUUCAAAUGUUCCUUCUCAUUCCUUUUAAUUUAAGGAAUCAAAGCAAAAAACUAGUCGUUAUCAAAUCAGGCAAAGAACAAUAAGGAAUAAAUAUUUCUAUUAUUUUAUUCUUCUUGAUUCUAUUCCUUUUUGUUUAUAUUAUUUCUUUUGUUGUCAUCAGUUAGAGCCUAUAUAUAACAUAUGACUAAGUGUUAGGUCCAUUAUAAAGAUAAAUUUGCUUCUUCUUCUUCUUUCUGAGAAAAAUCUGUGUAUUCUAAAAACAAUGGAGAUGAAGAAAAUGGUUAUAUUUAUGGUGAUGAUGUUGACAAUCGGAAAUCUUACAGCUGAAUCUGAAGUUUUAGUUGGACGUUGGGGAGAUUGUAUCAAGACGUGUUAUAACAUAUGUAUCACUGGUCCAAUACAUGAUAGAAUCUCAUGUUUGCCUAAAUGUGCUCUGGAAUGUAAUCCGCAUAAAGAGAUCGAUGUGAAAAAGGCAAAAGGCUAUGUGAAUUAAUAUUUGGAUAUGUGUGAUAAAAAAUCGUGAAGGCAAUAUAAAUUAUCAUAUGUUUGCUGUACUUGACGAUUUAAUAAAGAUAUGUAUUGUUCCGUUAUUUCAAUUUUAUAAAUCAAUCCAAAUAACAUUUGUUGAUUGAUGAAUU